GGAGAGGAGGUAGUGGGGGGUCGGAAGAGGUGAGCCUGGAGCGGAGCAGGGAUGGGAAGAGACGGGCCUGGAGCAUCCCCUAGCAAAGUCAGCGCCUGUUCUUCUGGCGGGAAGCUGCUGCUGCUGCUCACAAGGUGCUUCUUAGCGUCCUUGCCUGCAGCAGGCUGUGCCUAUGUGAGGUAAGCCAGGGGCACUUCCAAACCACAGUACAGUACUAUACAGUAUAUAAUGCCUUUUGUCUGCCCCCCAAAAAUUCCUUGAAACCUAACCCCCUACAUUUACAUUAAAUCUUAUUGUAAAAUUGGAUUUGUUUAACAUAGUUUCACUUAAGGUUGCAUUUUUCAGGAACAUAACUACAACGUUAAGUGAGGAGUUACUGUAUGUGUAUAUUUAUGUCUAAUGUAUAAUUUGUAAGUGUCAGUGUUGGAAGAGUUUGUCAAUAUGUCUUGUGGGUCUGAGUUACAGCUGGUCAAAAAUUUUUGAAACACACUGACAAUUUUCCAUUGCUAUUUUGAAUUUCAGUCACAACAAAACAUACUUAAGAUUUUGCUGUGUUUGUGGAAGUUUCAUCUAACUUUUUGGCUAGGUGUAAAAACUGAUUGAAACAUCUCAGUGAGACUUUUCAUUGAAGAGUUGCUUGGAGAGCAAAAAUGAUCUGAUUUGCAUGAAAACAUUCACAAGAGUUACGUCCAUUUUUUUUUCUUUUACCAGCUCUAGUCAGAGUUAAGACUAUUUCUGAAAUGUAUAAGGUGAAUUUUCACACAGCAAUAGUAUAGCCAGAUCCUCAGCUGGGGUAAAUUGGCAUAGUUCUUUUGAAAGUCAAUGGAACAAUGCUGCUUUACACCAGCUGAGAGUCUACCCAAUCUCUAUUAACAAAAUAUAUGAGUUUUGAGACUUUGAAGUACCUGUUAAUGUAGCUUAAGGUUUAGGCUUUUGUUUUAAUAAAAAAAAAAACAACCAAAAACCUGCAAUGUUUUCAUUUUGUGCGGUGUAUAAGAGUUAGAUGUACUGUAGCAACCUUACUUGUAAAUGAACCAGGUUCAUUAUUUGUAUUGCAAUAGCACCUAGGACCCCCAAAUCAUGGACCAAGACUCCAUUGUGCUAGCUGCUGUACAGUCAGAGAAGAAAAAGGUAUGGGGGUCUUCAUUCUUAGCUAAAAGAGUUUAAAAUGCCGUAGUCUCAAACAAAGUAAUUUCCCACGGGCUGACUGGAGAAGUAGCCAGAACUACCCUCUCACCCUUUACAAGCAGCCCCAUGAGGUCAGAAUUGAAACUCAUUGUCAUGGAGCUGCCACUGCUGCUACUUGUAAACAGUGUGCAGUGCAAUUCAUCCCUAUGUAAGAUAGCUAAGUGAUAGUUUUCCUAGAUAUGCAAAGUUUUAGAAGACAUGGAUAGAAGGAUAAAGAGCAAUACUUAAGAGUCUAAACUAGAUUCAAAUAGGGCCUCACAUUAAGAAAUUAACCUUACAUUUAUAGGCAAGGGUAGGAAGGUAAACCAGAAAAUGAUCUCAAUGUGAACCCCACAAGUUGGGCAAGUGUUGAAACUACAAGCAGGAUGGCACUAUGGAUGGGUAAUUACAAUUGGGAACAGGAAGCUGAUUAUGAAAGGCCUGUAAUCAAUGAUUAUAGAAAUCAGAUAGCUUUUCCUGUUUUAACUGUACAAUCAGAUCAACUGAAUGUGACUGACCCCAGCAAGAUGUUCAGUUAUUAAAUAUGUGGAAGUAUGGAAAGAGAACUCUCUGACAAGCAGUGCGGAUUAGAACAGUUAAGAUAUUAGCAGCAAAAGCUUGUAGUUAUGCACGUGUGUGUAUGCAAGUUAUAAAUAUGGGACUGAGAUUAAAAAUAUUCAGUACUGGUGGGGAGAGUGUGAGUGUGUGGAGGGAAUAUAGCCUCAGUAGAACACUUGUUUGGUUUCCAGAGAUAUAAUAAGAUCUUUAAUCUUAUUUAUCCUGGUGUAAUGUAAUAUAUCAGAUAACCUUCUCCAGUUAUUCCAGGGGCACUGAGUCAUAAUAGAUCUGGUUUGCCCAGUGCGAUUAAAUGAGGGUAGAAAUAGUUCCAUUCUUGCUGCCAACUCUGCUAAGAUUUUUAUAUUUGGAAUUCAUGGUAUUGAAUAAGAAGACCAUGCUGAAUGGUCUUUGGAUUACAAACACCAUGACCUCCUUGGUUCAGGGAGGUAAGUGUCCUGACUGAAUUAUUUUAUAUAACAGCCUUCCAAGUUGAUUCCUGCAAAUUAAAAAUAAAUUAGAAAGUGAGUAGACUUUUCUUGAUUGGACUCAUAGUAACCCAGUGACUCUCCCUUGUUUACAAUAUACCUGGUUUAAAUACAGACUAACACGGCUGUUACUCUGAAACCUGUAUUCUGUUAGGGAAUCUCCUGGAAUACCACAUAGCAUUAGUCUAGCUCACAGAUAGUGAGCUUCACACCAGUAUUUAAGCUAUAUAUAGAUUUUUCUAACAGCACAGUCUUUCUAAUGUACCAGGUUAAUUUCUCUGAUCAAACGUUUUGUCAUAUAGGAAAUAGAGUAUAAGGGGUAAAAGUCUUCAUGUGGGUGUGGCUGUAAAAAUGUUCAGUUGUUUCUUGCAAAAAUUUCCUUUUGUUUUAGAGAUACAAAUAUAUUCUAGAAUCUUUUUUUAAAUGAGUAAUUUCUUGAGGUAGACCUAUUAGUGUUCCAGAAAUUAACACUUUUCAUGAGUAACACAUUAGCACUUCUCCUAUGAAGUACUUGUAUGUCUUAGUGUAUUUUUCCUUCAUUGAUUAAUCUGCUAUAUUUAUAUUAAAUGCAGAAAUAAAAUAUGCACAUUCGUUAUUUUACUAGUUUUACACAGUACAGAACUACCAUGUUUAUUGGUACCCCUUUUUAAAAUCAAACUGUAAAUAUUAUAGUAACCUGUCAUUUAAGGCUGUGUUCUAGUUAUCACCAAUCUUAUUGGUGUAUGGGCUAUUUACUCGCCCCCUAAAAUAGCAGCUACAUUCUAGGGUAGCACUAGUUUAGAAUCACUGUUAACCAUAAAAACAUCACUGUAACUAUUGUACUUCUAAGGUAUGGUGACAUUAAUAAGUAGCGAUUCUGAAACAAUGCCAUUAGCUGCUCACAAUGUGAAAUUAUUACUUCAUGAUCACUAACAUAUAUACUGCUAUUGCAAAAGAAGAUAAAACAAAGUGAGAGUUUUAUUCUGAACUUCAGUAUGCAGGCAAGGAUUUCCUGACCAUUACAGGGAAUGCCAGCUCCACUUAGUUAAGGUUGAGAAAACCCUUCCUUUUAUAGGAAGACUUUUUUUAAGUGCUCUAAAACCCACAUGGUUACUCAAGUUGCCUUGAAAUUUGGUGUGCCUCAUUAAGUUGCAGGGCCUGGUUAGCGAUCCACAUUUAGGGUCAUUUGAUGGAGUCCCCCACCAAAACCAGCAUUUUUUUAAGACUGAGAUUCUACCAGUGUUUCCUGACGUUCAAACCAUAGCUGUGAUUGGGCUCCGGCGGGUCUAAAUCACCCAACACUUACCCCUGCUUUUGCAUGGCACCCACCACCCUUUGGGGAAGCAGUAUUGAAAAUGUUAUUCAACGAAGGAUUACGCUCCGUAGAUGGGUCAAUGGCUAGGCUUGAGCCUUACACUCUUACAUGCCAAUGGUCACUAACUCCUAAACAAAACAAAUAAUUGUCUUUCAUUUUUAAAAACACACCGAAAACCAAACCGAAACCCCAAGGAAAGUAACUGACACUUAGUUCAGAACUAGUGUUGCGCAGUGCCAUCUUGUGCCCUUACAGAACAUCAAGUUCAGAAAAAACUCAAACGUCUGAAAACCAGGAAAGAGAAUUAAGGUUCAUGCCCAGGAAAAAUUAUCUCUGCCCCCUUCGAGCAAUGGAGGUUAGGGCUCUAACCAUGGAUGCGUGAGACCUAGGUUCAAGUCCCCACACCAAAUCGGGCAGCAUAGGACUUUGAAGGUAGGUCUCUUAGAUCCAAGUUGGGCUAUUGAGGGUCUUCCAUUUUUUGUGAGAGAGCUGACCAGAGGGCACCUAGGAGAGAAUUCACAGCUGAGAAUCCCAGGUGGAGAUAAGUGCCUCUCUCCAGCCUGUGAGUCAGGUGCCUAAGGCCCAGAUCAGUGCGAUUUAAGAACCAAAAUGCCUUUGUGGUUCUGGGCCCAAGUCCUGUCCCUUUCCUUUGCAUUUCACUCCUGACUAGUUUAGGUGGCUCUCCAGUUGGUUUGCUGCCUCUGAGAAUCCCUUUCUUAGGUGCUUUACUCUCCCCAUACAAUGCAUGCAGUGCCUUGCACCUAACUCAGGGCUGAGAAUUGCACAUGGCAGCAGGGUGCCCAGGAAUUAGUUAUGUUUGUAGCCACAAAGUAGUAUUAAUAAACUCAGCUAUACAUGCAAGAAUUAUUCUGUGUUAUGCUUUAGAAAAAGAAAGUUAUUCAGUGCUAGAAAGGUUACUUUAAAUCCCUUCUUCCCCCACUGCUAACAAAAUAAGCAGCAUUUUUACAAAUAUAACCUACAACUUAACAGACAAGAUCCAAAUGCUUUGAGAGUGUCCCUUACAAUCUAAAUUAAAUGUAAAUUUGGAAAUGUUAAUUUAAACUGCUGUCCAUUCUUAACACUCCUUUAAAUACACUGCAGUCCUUCAGCAGAUCAAACUAAUGACCGGCUAAAGGAAGUAUGUUAUUCAAAGGUGUGUUGUUGCUAAUAAUAAAAGUCUAUUGGCAGGAAGUGUACAGAGACAGCUCUCAAACACAGGAUGAACUCAUGCAAUUAUCCAAUUAUUGAUAAAGCCACAUGCUAGGACCAAAUCUAAUUAAAAAUCAAGAACAAGACUACACUCUUGCAUUAUAUUCUCUUCUAAGAUAAAUCAGUUCUAUCCUAUUAAACAUAGAUAGCAAGUUGGGAUGUUCCUAUUGUAAUCCUCAAUGAUAACUUUUUCAGAACAUGAAGCACAGGGGAGUGGCAGUUUUAUGAGUAAAGCAAAUAUCUACAACUCACAAACCUCUUGUGUAAUUGACUUUGGCUUGGCACCGAGAACAAUACAACAUGAGUCAGAUUUACAUUUGCCUUCCUUUUUAAUGAUAUGUAUCACAUAACUAAACAACUUCUGAAACAUCCUUAACCAUCAUGAGGUAAUAAUUUGGAAAGGUUUAAUUUUCCACAAUGUACGUUGAUCAAUGAUAAUGGGCUCUGCUCCUUACUACAAGCUGCAAAAAUAAAUAAAAUCAGCAUCAGUUUUAAAUAUUUUUGGAAGUUUUCUUGAUAACUAAACACUUCCUAGGCUAACAGAGGCAUUGUGGGUUCCACUUACCUAUUCCUUUGCGGAUCAUGUUCAUGCAGUUUGAAAAUGUAGGUUAUUAAGGGCCAGAUACUCCAAGGAAGUUGAUGGAAGUUAGGAGCCUGAAUACCUUUGAGGAUCUGUCCCUAAGUCACAGAACUGAGACCAUGGUGAUCAGAGAUCUGUUCUCUGUAAAUACCAAUCACUACAGAUCUCAAACAACCUUUUAAAAUAAAUGUGUUUAAUCAUAAAUAAUUUAAUUUAGAAAAAAUGCAAAUGCUGAGUAAGCUACUGUUAGCUCUGUAAUCUGAUCACUCAAGUGAAACCAGCAGGUUUACAUAGUCUUAAAAAUAGUAAAGAAAUCAUCAUACAAUGUUUAACAGUCGAAAUAUUUAUCUUGAGGUAAUAUCUUUGAUCAUGCUACUAAACUCAGCCUUCACUUCCACAGGAAUUUUCCCAGGGGUUACCAAUGAAGGAUGUUAGGCCCCUUGACUAUGGACCCUCAACAGGAUCUUUGCUCCUUUUAUCCCCUUCAAAGUCUGCCGCAUUGGGGAGGGGGAAGGGAUUGGCCCUCAGUAGUUAUUUUAAAAGACUAAUAAUAAAGGUGUCAGGGGUUACCAAAAAGAUGACAAGAUUAAUUACUUGUCCAUUCCAUUAACAACAGCACCAGAAGAGUUAGGUAUAGCUAUCACUGCCCUUCAGCACUAUGGUGGAAAACAUUAAGAAGAUUGGACCAGACAGAAGGAGGGAAAGAAAAGGAGAUAUUAAUAACUGCAUGAGUGAAUAUUAAAAUAAUGAGACACUCAAUCUGUUACUUCAUGUAGGUUAUAUCACUGCUAGCAGGGGAUUAAGGAAGGGUUAAAGUUAGAGUCUCACCUGGUUAAAAAUAACUUUUGCUCACUAAAGAAAAUUUCUUAUAUUCUGUAUCAAUGGAUAUAUACAAGUGCUGCUUGAUUUAUCAAGAUUAUUAGGUCUUCUAUCAUUCAGAUAAAGACAGGUAAUAAAAAGCCACAGAAAAGGAUUUUCCCCCUCAAACUCUUUAAUUAAAAAUAAAAUUAUGUAUCUUUAUAUAAUAACAAACCCAACUAAGUAUGGGUGUGGAUCUGUGCCUAUAACAAAUAAUAUCAAAUGGAUAAAAAGCCAGACCGUGUACAUAUGUUGUUUAACUUGAAAGAAGUGAUUGUUUCCCUACAUCCUUGCAAACUGAUCACAGUUCUGUGUUGCUCUUAGUGAUUUGCUUUAUUCUGAGGUUUAUUCAGAACAGGUCAAGCUAUAUAGAUUCUUCUUGUCCUGCUGGAUUCAUCCAUGUUCUUAGGGUUGCUAUUUUACAUAGUGUUAACAACAGUAAUAGAGCUUUUAUAACAGUUUCACAAAAUGUUAACAUCAUUAACACCAAGGAUACACAACUGUGGUAUUUGAGAAAUAACAAUUUCCAACACGUUGUUCAUUGUGUGUGUUGCCCAAAAGGCUUAUAUUAGUUGUCAGGAUCAUAUUACAAGAAAAUAGGAGGGACUAUUUAGAAAAGCUGGACGUGCACAAGUCCAUGGGGCCAGACGAGUUGCAUCCGAAAGUGCUAAAGGAAUUGGCGGCUGUGAUUGCAGAGCCAUUGGCCAUUAUCUUUGAAAACUCGUGGCGAACGGGGGAAGUCCCAGAUGACUGGAAAAAGGCUAAUGUAGAGCCAAUCUUUAAAAAAGGGAAGAAGGAGGAUCCUGGGAACUACAGGCCAGUCAGCCUCACCUCAGUCCCUGGAAAAAUCAUGGAGCAGGUCCUCAAGGAAUCAAUCCUGAAGCACUUACACGAGAGGAAAGUGAUCAGGAACAGUCAGCAUGAAUUCACCAAGGGUGACCCCCAAGCAGUACAUUCGGAGAUGGGCUCGGAGUUCAUGGACAUGCAGGCAGCAACACUGCUCUCCCGAAACUGGCAUCAUCCCUGGCCUGUUGUUGUGAUGGUGUAGCAAGAUGUGAAGCAAACAAGUCCACCUUUGGAGGUCCCCACCUUUGGAUGAUGAAUCUGGUGACUUACGGGGGAAGAAACCACUCAUGGGAGGCAAGGACUAGGGGAGGAACUGUGAGCACAGAGUCCACGUGGUGUCUGCUUAGGGAAUAUACUGAUGCAAGCCACAUCUGGAGGGACCAGAGGCGCAGUCUUGCGUGUUGAACCAUGGCUCUUGUCUUGGAGGCAUCAAGAAAUGAGGAGGCUGCUGGGGCCUGAAGUGCUUCCUGGAAACCAACGGAGCAUAAAGGCCUAAGGAUUGUAGGGUGGCCCUUGAGUCCGUCCGGCUGUGAAGUCAGUGUCUGUCUGCUCCAAGAAUAGAGAGGAGCCUUCGAAGGGGAAGUCCUGGAUAGAUUGUUGGACCAUGUGAGGAAGCUCCGAGAAUUGGAACCAAGAACAACUACCUCAUGGUGAUAGCGGAGGCCAUUGUCCUGGCUGCCGAGUUGGCUGCAUCCAAAGUCGCCUGGAGAGAGGUCCUGGCCACAUUCUUAGCCUCUUCCAAAAGGGCAGUGAACUCCUGCCUUGAAUAUUGGGACAGAAUUUUUAAAUUUAGCCAGGGAGUACCGCAGAUUAUAAAUCAUAUCUCUCCAGCAAAACUUGCUGGUUAGAGAUAUGUAGUUGAAGGCUACCCUUUAAAUAAACCUUUCUGAAAAA